rnacentral:lncRNA from 1 species
UUUACAAAAGAAAGAAAAAUAAUAGACCGGAUAAUACUUCUCACCUCAUACAAGGCAGAAAGAUGUUUUGGGAGAAGUAGAGAAUUCAAGACAACAUUUGAUUCUUUCAGGUCAUCAUUUGCUGGCCCUGGUCCUUUACUUUGCUGUCUUGUUUAUAGAGUUAUUCCCUCUAGUACGAAAUAUGAAGCCCUCUACAAGUCAUAGUGGAUUUGGAAUAAAACUCUUGGAUUCAAUUCUUUGCUCCUAACAAUCUGGUUGAUUUUGGACAGAUUAUUUAACUGGCCUCUGUUUAUUCAAAUGGAAAAUGGGGAGAAUAAUCUAUUUUCUUUAGCUAUUAUGAGAAUGAAAUAGACAAUACAUAGAUAGCAGUGUUCAUGGAAAGAUUAAUAUAUAAAUAUCAAACUGCAUUUGCUCAAUUAGUAUUAGCUAUUAUCAGGAGUAUGUUAGCAUCAGGAAUAGCUAAUCUUAUCUUUUAUUAAGGUGAUAUGAAUCAAUCAGAGACAAGACUGGAAACAAAUGGGGAAAUUGAGGAAAGUUAUAACAAAGGGAGUAUUUACAAAGAUAUCUGAGGUUGAGGGAAAUCCACAGGGAGG